AGAGCUCACAUCAGUUCAGCUUCAACAUCAACCAUGUUCUCUGCAGCUCUGAUACUGCUGCUGGCAGCUGGAUCCUGUGUGAACAGUAUUGAUCUCACCCAGCCAGACUCAAUGGUUGUGCAGCCUGGACAGUCGUUGACCAUCACCUGUCAGGUCUCUGGUUAUUCUUUGACUGAUGACAGCUAUGCAACAGGUUGGAUCAGACAACGUGAAGGAAAACCAAUGGACUGGAUUUCUUUUAUUUGUAGUGGCAGUGGCAGCAGCAAACUCUACUCUGAGUCAGUGAAAGGCCGGUUUACCAUCUCCAGAGACAACAGCAGACAGCAGGUGUAUCUGCAGAUGAACAGUCUGAAGACUGAAGACUCUGCUGUUUAUUAUUGUGCUCGAUACUCACAGUGACUGGAGUUGGUUGAGCAGCUGUACAAAAACCUGCAGUCCUCAUCUUUACUGAGCUGACAGACGAAAUAAUGAUGUAUAUGUUUUCUUUUUCUUUUUGCCUUCAAUGAACACACACU